UGGGGAAUAUUGCACAAUGGAGGGAACUCUGAUGCAGCGACGCCGCGUGAGUGAUGAAGGAAUUCGUUUCGUAAAACUCUGUUCUAUGGGAAGAAAAGGACUGUACCAUAGGAGAAAGCUCCGGCUAAAUACGUGCCAGCAGCCGCGGUAAUACGUAUGGAGCGAGCGUUGUCCGGAAUUAUUGGGCGUAAAGGGUGCGCAGGCGGCUUUACAAGUUGGAUGUGAAAUAUUGUGGCUCAACCACAAACGUGCAUCCAAAACUGCAAAGCUUGAGUUAAGGAGAGAUAAGUGGAAUUCCUGGUGUAGCGGUGGAAUGCGUAGAUAUCAGGAGGAAUACCGGUGGCGAAGGCGACUUACUGGACUUAAACUGACGCUCAGGCACGAAAGCGUGGGGAGCAAACAGG
rnacentral:rRNA from 1 species